rnacentral:lncRNA from 1 species
GAACACAAAAUGGCGACACGUGGUUAGCAUUCGUCGCCAACGAGAAAUUGGGGUCGGCCCGAAAGCUCUAGAAUGCACCCCUCUUCCUCCCCGGGGCCUUCCACCUCCGCGAGUUUUAUGACUUAAAAAAGCCCACAGGCUGGUCUGAAGGUCGGAGGCCUAAUUUUAACGCGUUUUCCUCCCUUUAAUUUGAAACGGGAACGCGAAUGACUGUAAAAUGUGGGCACAAUAUUUAAUCUCUCGCCUUUUUAAAGCUUAAUAGUGGAUAAUAGGGGGGCAGUAUCAAGGGAUAAUUUGGGUCCCCACAGUACCAAAGCAUUUAGAAACCUCUGUUUAAUUUAAGGAAUGAGAUAAGUUACUGCUUUUCUAGACUUCCUAGCAUGGGCUGUUGUGCUGGAGAGAACGAGAGCUACGAAGAGACUACAGUGCCUCUGACUUUUUCAUAGGACAGUUGGCCGAGGAAGACAAACAUAAAGAUGAAGUGCUUAAUUCAAGGUCACACAAUGUCGGGGAUGGACCUCCAGAUUUCCUUACUGACCAAGUGUGUUGGGGACUUGAGAUGCGUACAUGAGUGUGAUGUUUCCUGCUGAAAGCACAGGUGAGACGUGGUCUUGUAACACAGUGGUUAAGAAUGUGACUUUGGAGCCAGCCUGCUAGGGGCUGAAUUCUGACUCAGCCAUUUACUAACUGUGUGACCUUAGGCUGGAGUGCAAUGGCAUGAUCUCGGCUCAUCACAACCUCUGCUUCCUGGGUUCAAGCGAUUCUCCUGCCUCAGCCUCCCGAGUACCUGGGACUACAGGCACUCGCCACCAUGCCCGGCUGAUUUUUGUAUUUUUAAUAGAGAUGGUUUCACUAUGUUGGCCAGGCUGGUCUCGAACUCCUGACCUUGUGAUCUGCCCACCUCAGCCUCGAAAAGUGCUGGGAUUACAGGCGUGAGCCACUGCGCCCAGCCUUGUAUUUUUUUUCAGUUUGGGUAGCUGUCCCUAAUUCAUUUGUUAAAGGAGAAGCAAGAGCAAGAACCUUUAAUCUGUUCUCCUCUUCCCUAAUUUGAAAGUAGCUUGUUAUUUUGAAUAUCACUUUCUCUGAAAUAGCACAUCUCCAUCUCAGAGAAUGGAUUUAAUGUUUGGAUACAGCCAAAAGUCAUUUCAUUACCAAACCAUGGGGUGAAUAUACCAUGUAAAGCAGUUUGGGAUCAGAACUCACAGUCUGAAUUGUAAGUGAUGAGACUGCUGUCUCUCUGCUACAGCUUCUUGGCUGGCUCUGAAGGCUCUUUGAAGGCAGAUCCUAACAAGGGGACUGCUUUGAAGGGCCAUUGUUCAUUUGGAAUGAUAAAGUCUAUGUUGUUCAAAAAACAAAUGCUUGUAGCAGGUAUUUUUUCACUCCAGACUGAGAAUAUUGGUGGGAUAUUGAUAAGGGGUACUGAAUGGUAAUAAACAUGUGCUCUAGCUCUGUGCUAGUCAGCUUAUUUCAGAACUCUAGUUUGAUUCAGUUUCUUGCCUCUGACUCAAAAUGGAGGGAGAGUGAUUUUUACAUAAGAGAACACACCCACAUAUCCUUUUGGCAGCAGCUACCUGCCAGAGAUGUUGAAGAAGAGUAGCCAACCUUUACACAGCAGAUAUUGUGUGCCAGUCAUAGUCCUAAGUAUAAUACCUUACAUGUAUAAACUUCUUAUAAGGUUGGUGCUCUGUACCGAAUUGAAUAGUAUCCCCCAAAAUUCAUGUUGUCCCAGAACCUAUGAAAGUGAUCUUACUUGAGGGAGGGGGGAGGGGGGAGGGAUAGCAUUAGGAGAUAUACCUAAUGCUAAAUGACGAGUUAAUGGGUGUAGCACACCAGCAUGGCACAUGUAUACAUAUGUAACUAACCUGCACAUUGUGCACAUGUACCCUAAAACUUAAAGUAUAAUAAUAAUAAAAUAAAAAAAAAAAAGAAAGUGAUCUUACUUGGAAAUAAGGUCUUUGCACAUAUGAUCAAGUUGAGAUGAAGUUGUACUGGAAAGUCUGUCUAGUGACUGGUGUUGUCAUAAGAAGAGAGGGACACAGAGGGAAGAUGGCCACAUGAAGAUGGAGGCAGAGAUUGCAGUUAUGCUGCUGCAAACUAAGGAAUGGCUCUGGCCCUCCAAGGAUUGCUGAUAACCACCAGAAACUAGAAGAGACAAGGAAGGAUUCUUCCCUAGAGCCUUCAGAGGGAGCAUGGCCCUACUGACACCUGGAUUUCAAACUUGUAGCUUCCUAAACUGCAAGAGAAUAAAUUUCUGUUGUUUUAAGCCAUAUAGUUUGUGGUAAUUUGUUAUGGCAGUCCUAGGUAAU